UACGUAGGGUGCGAGCGUUGUCCGGAAUUAUUGGGCGUAAAGGGCUCGUAGGCGGUUUGUCGCGUCGGGAGUGAAAACAUCCAGCUUAACUGGGUGCUUGCUUUCGAUACGGGCAGACUUGAGGUAUGCAGGGGAGAAUGGAAUUCCUGGUGUAGCGGUGAAAUGCGCAGAUAUCAGGAGGAACACCGGUGGCGAAGGCGGCUCUCUGGGCAUUACCUGACGCUGAGGAGCGAAAGUGUGGGGAGCGAACAGG
rnacentral:rRNA from 1 species